UACGUAGGGUGCAAGCGUUGUCCGGAAUUAUUGGGCGUAAAGAGCUCGUAGGCGGUCUGUUGCGUCGGCUGUGAAAACCCGAGGCUCAACCUCGGGCCUGCAGCCGAUACGGGCAGACUAGAGUUCGGCAGGGGAGACUGGAAUUCCUGGUGUAGCGGUGAAAUGCGCAGAUAUCAGGAGAAACACCUGCGGCGAAGGCGGGUUGCUGGGCUGACACUGACGCUGAGGCGCGAAAGCUAGGGGAGCGAACGGG
rnacentral:rRNA from 1 species